UACGUAGGGGGCAAGCGUUGUCCGGAAUCAUUGGGCGUAAAGCGCGUGUAGGCGGCCCGAUAAGUCCGCUGUGAAAGUCCAGGGCUCAACCCUGGGAUGCCGGUGGAUACUGUCGGGCUCGAGUCCGGAAGAGGCGAGUGGAAUUCCGUGGUGUAGCGGUGAAAUGCGCAGAUAUCAGGAGGAAUACCGGUGGCGAAAGCGACUCUCUGGACGGCAACUGACGCUGAGGCACGAAAGCGUGGGGAGCAAACAGG
rnacentral:rRNA from 1 species